rnacentral:rRNA from 1 species
GUCCUUUUGUUUAUUUAUUUAAGGUCUGACCUGCCCAAUGAGGAAUUCAAUGGCCGCAGUAUUUUAACUGUGCUAAGGUAGCAUAAUCAUUUGUCUUUUAAUUGAGGGCUGGAAUGAAAGGUUGGACGAGAUAUUGACUUUCUUUAGUUUAAUUUUAAGAAUUUAAUUUUUGAGUUAAAAAGCUUAAAUUUAUUUGUUGGACGAGAAGACCCUAUAGAUCUUUAUAGUUUUAUAUUUUGAUAAUUUGGUGAUUUUAUUUAUUGUGAGUAGAAGAAUUAUUUUGUUGGGGUGACUGUAGAAUUUUAUUAACUUCUAUUAUUUUUAUUUCAUUUAUUGGUGUUUUUUUGAUCCAUAUAUUUAUGAUUAAAAGAUUAAG